CGUUAUCGGAUUCUGGGCGUAAGCGCGCGUAGGCGGCUUGAUAAGCCGGUUGUGAAAGCCCCGGGCUCAACCUGGGAACGGCAUCCGGAACUGUCAGGCUAGAGUGCAGGAGAGGAAGGUAGAAUUCCCGGUGUAGCGGUGAAAUGCGUAGAGAUCGGGAGGAAUACCAGUGGCGAAGGCGGCCUUCUGGACUGACACUGACGCUGAGGUGCGAAAGCGUGGGUAGCAAACAGGAUUAGAUACCCUGGUAGUCCACGCCGUAAACGAUGUCGACUAGCCGUUGGGGUCCUCGAGACCUUUGUGGCGCAGUUAACGCGAUAAGUCGACCGCCUGGGGAGUACGGCCGCAAGGUUAAAACUCAAAUGAAUUGACGGGGGCCCGCACAAGCGGUGGAGCAUGUGGUUUAAUUCGAUGCAACGCGAAGAACCUUACCUACCCUUGACAUCGAGCGAACUUUCCAGAGAUGGAUUGGUGCCUUCGGGAACGCUCAGACAGGUGCUGCAUGGCUGUCGUCAGCUCGUGUUGUGAAAUGUUGGGUUAAGUCCCGUAACGAGCGCAACCCUUGUCCCUAUUUGCCAGCGAUUCGGUCGGGAACUCUAGGGAGACUGCCGGUGACAAACCGGAGGAAGGUGGGGACGACGUCAAGUCAUCAUGGCCCUUACGGGUAGGGCUACACACGUGCUACAAUGGCCCGGUACAGAGGGUGGCAAUACCGCGAGGUGGAGCUAAUCUCAAAAAGCCCGGUCUCAGUCCGGAUCGGAAGUCUGCCACCUCGACUCGUGAGUCGAUCGCUAGUAUCGUGAAUCAGAAUGUCACGGUGAAAUACGUUUCCCGGG
rnacentral:rRNA from 1 species